CAGUCGCCGCGGUAAUACGUAGGGUGCAAGCGUUAAUCGGAAUUACUGGGCGUAAAGCGUGCGCAGGCGGUUUGUUAAGACGGAUGUGAAAUCCCCGGGCUCAACCUGGGAACUGCAUUUGUGACUGGCAAGCUAGAGUAUGGCAGAGGGGGGUGGAAUUCCGCGUGUAGCAGUGAAAUGCGUAGAUAUGCGGAGGAACACCGAUGGCGAAGGCAGCCCCCUGGGCCAAUACUGACGCUCAUGCACGAAAGCGUGGGGAGCAAACAGGAUUAGAUACCCCCGUAGUCCCUGUCUCUUAUAC
rnacentral:rRNA from 1 species